rnacentral:rRNA from 1 species
GCGGACGGCUCAGUAACACGUAGUCAACCUAACUCGUGGACGUGGAUAACCUCGGGAAACUGAGAAUAAACCACGAUAGAUCAUAGUGCCUGGAAUGGCUUAUGGUCCAAACAGUUUACUGCCAUGGGAUGGGACUGCGGCCUAUCAGCUUGUUGGUGAGGUAAUGGCCCACCAAGGCGAUUACAGGUACGGGCUCUGAGAGGAGAAGCCCGGAGAUGGGUACUGAGACACGGACCCAGGCCCUAUGGGGCGCAGCAGGCGGGAAACCUUAGCAAUGUGCGAAAGCACGACUGGGUCAGUCCGAGUGAUUCCUGAUAAAGGAGUCUUUUGCUUGUCCUAAAAGCACAGGUGAAUAAGGGGUGGGCAAGUCUGGUGUCAGCCGCCGCGGUAAUACCAGCACCUCGAGUGGUCAGGACGUUUAUUGGGCCUAAAGCAUCCGUAGCCGGCUUUGCAAGUCUUCGGUUAAAUCCACCUGCUCAACAGAUGGGCCGCUGGAGAUACUACAGAGCUAGGGAGUGGGAGAGGCAGACGGUAUUCAGUGGGUAGGGGUAAAAUCCUCUGAUCCAUUGAGGACCACCAGUGGCGAAGGCGGUCUGCCAGAACACGUUCGACGGUGAGGGAUGAAAGCUGGGGGAGCAAACCGGAUUAGAUACCCGGGUAGUCCCAGCUGUAAACGAUGCAAACUCGGUGAUGCAUUGGCUUAUGGCCA